GUGGGGGACUGUCACUUAUUCAGGGGUGAGUGCGGGGGUGGGGGUUGGGCCCUGUCAUUUACUUAGAGGGUGAAAGUCGGGUACGGGCUGUCACUUACUGAGGACAACCACAAUGAUGAUACUCGCCAGGCUCAGUAGUGCUAUGAUGAUGGGGAUCCCCACCUUUCUGAAGGUCUCCAUGGGGAUACGGGGUUUGCGCAGGGGUUUGACAUCUGCAAGAAAAUGGGAGGCAGAGGGGAAGAGCAUGCAGUCAGCACUUGGUGAUCCCUGAGCCAAACUCCACAGCCUCCUGCCUUCUGGCCGGUGACAGAGAUUACCAUCUGGGGGAAGAGGCAGACACAGAUGCCAGCCCAGCCAGGUGGAAGAUAAUAUAUGUUAUAAUAGAGACAUCUUCAAAG
rnacentral:lncRNA from 1 species